UAGGGAAUCUUCCACAAUGGACGCAAGUCUGAUGGAGCAACGCCGCGUGAGUGAAGAAGGUUUUCGGACCGUAAAGCUCUGUUGUUGGUGAAGAAGGAUAGAGGUAGUAACUGGCCUUUAUUUGACGGUAAUCAACCAGAAAGUCACGGCUAACUACGUGCCAGCAGCCGCGGUAAUACGUAGGUGGCAAGCGUUGUCCGGAUUUAUUGGGCGUAAAGCGAGCGCAGGCGGAAGAAUAAGUCCGAUGUGAAAGCCCUCGGCUUAACCGAGGAAUUGCAUCGGAAACUGUUUUUCUUGAGUGCAGAAGAGGAGAGUAGAACUCCAUGUGUAGCAGUGGAAUGCGUAGAUAUAUGGAAGAAUACCAGUGGCGAAGGCGGCUCUCUGGUCUGCAACUGACGCUGAGGCUCGAAAGCAUGGGUAGCGAACAGGAUUAGAUACCCUGGUAGUCCAUGCCGUAAACGAUGAGUGCUAAGUGUUGGGAGGCUUCCGCCUCUCAGUGCUGCAGCUAACGCAUUAAGCACUCCGCCUGGGGGAGUACGACCGC
rnacentral:rRNA from 1 species